AUGAAAACACAAGGCAGCAAAAUGCCAGCUUCCUCAAUACCACUGUUGUACCGUUGCCUACUGCUUGUAUCAUGCCUUCUGCUCUUGGAAGAAGCAGAUGCGGCGCACCAUGGAGGGAUCUCACUGAGGUCGCAACACAUGGCCCUCCUCCACUGGAAAGCUACACUUGCGAGCCCACCACCGCAGAUGAGCUCUUGGCAGGAAAACACCAGCUCGUGCAACUGGACGGGCAUCAUGUGCACGGCUGUUCGCCAUGGCCGCCACAUGCCCUGGGUGGUCACCAACAUCUCCCUGCCAGAUGCUGGCAUCCGUGGCCAGCUUGGUGAGCUCAACUUCUCGGCUCUUCCAUUCCUUGAAUAUAUCAACCUUACUAACAAUAGUCUCCAUGGUGCACUGCCCUCUAGUAUCAGCUCCCUGUCAGCACUUUCAGUACUUGGCCUUCAAUACAACCAGCUCACAGGGAAAAUUCCCUAUGAGAUUGGUCACCUGCAAAGUCUCAGGCGGCUUGGCCUCGCAUAUAACAGACUCACAGGGCAUAUCCCUGUGUCUCUGGGUAAUCUAACAAUGUUAACUGAUCUUUUCAUUCACCAAACCAUGCUAUCAGGCCCCAUUCCCGAGGAGAUUGGAAGGCUUGUCAACCUACAAGUUCUACAGCUAAGCAACAGCACCUUAAGCGGCACGAUACCAAAAACCCUUGGAAAUCUGACCCAACUAAAUACUUUGUUUCUCUAUGGUCCAAUACCAUUAGAAUUGGGUCUCUUGCAGAAUCUCCAGAGUUUACAACUAGAUGACAACCAAAUAUCUGGUUCUAUUCCUAGCAUCUUAGGAAAUAUGACUAAGCUAGUAGAGCUGACCCUAUCUGUAAAUCACAUAACCGGUUCCAUCCCCCAAGAAAUUGGCAAUCUAAUGAACCUCGAUGGCAACAUUCCAUCCUCCUUUGGAAGCAUGGUGAGCCUUUCAACAUUUGAUGUGUCCUACAAUGACUUGGAAGGACCAGUCCCAACAACAUGGCUACUCCACAAUGCUUCAGCAAGCUGGUUUCUUCCCAAUAAAGGUAUGUGCGGUAACCUCUCUGGCCUGCCACCUUGUUAUUCAUCUCCAGUAGUUGGUCACCAUAAAGGGAAGAUACUUGGUUUGCUUUUGCCGAUUGUUCUUGUGGUGGGUUUCAGUAUUAUUGCUGCAAUUGCUGUUGUAAUAAUGCUUAGUCGUAACAAGACAAAACCACAAGAAGGUGUUAUUGCUGAAGCAAGGGACCUGUUCUCUGUUUUGAACUUUGAUGGAAGAUUGGCAUUUGACGAUAUUUUAAGGGCAACAGAAGGCUUCGAUGAUAAGUACAUCACUGGAACAGGAGGAUACGGCAAAGUCUACAAGGCACAACUCCAAGAUGGGGAGCUGGUUGCUGUGAAGAAGCUUCAUCAGACCGAAGAGUUGGAUGAUGAAAGAAGAUUUCGUAGUGAAAUGGAAAUCUUAACACAGAUCCGACAACGAAGCAUUGUCAAAAUGUAUGGAUUCUGCUCCCAUCCAGUGUAUAAGUUUCUAGUCUACGACUACAUUCAGCAGGGAAGCCUCCACGGAAUAUUGGAAAAUCAGGAGCUAGCAAAGGAAUUAGAUUGGAAGAAGAGAAUUGCUCUUGCAACUGAUGUGGCUCAAGCAAUAUCUUAUUUGCACCACGAAUGCAGUCCACCUAUAAUCCAUCGAGAUAUCACAAGCAACAACAUCUUACUUGAUACAUCCUUCAAGGGUUUUGUCUCGGAUUUUGGCACGGCAAGGAUUCUUAAACCCGAUUCAUCAAACUGGAGUGCACUAGCAGGAACAUAUGGCUACAUAGCUCCUGAACUGUCGUACACAUCUGCUGUGACAGAGAAAUGUGAUGUCUAUAGCUUUGGCGUGGUGGUGCUAGAGCUAGUGAUAGGGAAGCAUCCAAGGGAUCUAUUAGACGGUAGUUUGUCAAGCGGGGAACAAGCUAUACUUGUGAAAGAUAUUCUGGACCAACGGCCGACAACACCAACAACAACAGAAGAGAAGAGCUUAGCUCUGCUCAUCAAGCUGGCCUUCUCUUGCUUGGAAUCUUCUCCACAAGCAAGGCCAACCAUGCGGGCGGCAUACCAAACGCUCAUCCAGCAACCUUGUUCUAGUUCAAGUCCCGUGCCUUUCAGCGCACUUACAUUACAGCAAGGGAUGCAUGUUGAUGUAUGA
rnacentral:rRNA from 1 species